rnacentral:rRNA from 2 species
GGCCGGAUAGCGAGAUUUAGCCUGGGCCAGGGGAUUCGAGCCGGGGUCCCCCCGGUUAGCGGCGGACGGGUGAGUAACACGUAGGUAACCUGCCUAUAAGACUGGGAUAACUCCGGGAAACCGGGGCUAAUACCGGAUAACAUUUUGCACCGCAUGGUGCGAAAUUGAAAGGCGGCUUCGGCUGUCACUUAUAGAUGGACCUGCGGCGCAUUAGCUAGUUGGUGAGGUAACGGCUCACCAAGGCGACGAUGCGUAGCCGACCUGAGAGGGUGAUCGGCCACACUGGGACUGAGACACGGCCCAGACUCCUACGGGAGGCAGCAGUAGGGAAUCUUCCGCAAUGGACGAAAGUCUGACGGAGCAACGCCGCGUGAGCGAUGAAGGCCUUCGGGUCGUAAAGCUCUGUUGUUAGGGAAGAACAAGUGCUAGUUGAAUAAGCUGGCACCUUGACGGUACCUAACCAGAAAGCCACGGCUAACUACGUGCCAGCAGCCGCGGUAAUACGUAGGUGGCAAGCGUUAUCCGGAAUUAUUGGGCGUAAAGCGCGCGCAGGUGGUUUCUUAAGUCUGAUGUGAAAGCCCACGGCUCAACCGUGGAGGGUCAUUGGAAACUGGGAGACUUGAGUGCAGAAGAGGAAAGUGGAAUUCCAUGUGUAGCGGUGAAAUGCGUAGAGAUAUGGAGGAACACCAGUGGCGAAGGCGACUUUCUGGUCUGUAACUGACACUGAGGCGCGAAAGCGUGGGGAGCAAACAGGAUUAGAUACCCUGGUAGUCCACGCCGUAAACGAUGAGUGCUAAGUGUUAGAGGGUUUCCGCCCUUUAGUGCUGAAGUUAACGCAUUAAGCACUCCGCCUGGGGAGUACGGCCGCAAGGCUGAAACUCAAGGAAUGACGGGGGGCCCGCACAAGCCGGUGGAGCAUGUGGUUUAAUUCGAAGCAACGCGAAGACCUUACCAGGUCUUGACAUCCUCUGACAACCCUAGAGAUAGGGCUUCCCCUUCCCUGCAGA